rnacentral:rRNA from 1 species
AGCAGCCGCGGUAAUUCCAGCUCCAAUAGCGUAUAUUAAAGUUGUUGCAGUUAAAAAGCUCGUAGUUGAAUUUCGAAAUUUUUUUAUCGGUUGAAUCAACAGGUUCGUACUGAUCUUAAGAAUUUCUACCUUCUGGAGAACCUUAAUGUCAUUUAUUUGAUGUUUUGGGAAGCCAGGACUGUUACCUUGAAAAAAUUAGAGUGUUUAAAGCAGGCUUAUGUCUGAAUAUAUUAGCAUGGAAUAAUGAAAUAGGACGGCAUGGUUCUAUUUUGUUGGUUUCUAGGAUCACCGUAAUGAUUAAUAGGGAUAGUUGGGGGCAUUAGUAUUCAAUUGUCAGAGGUGAAAUUCUUGGAUUUAUUGAAGACUAACUUCUGCGAAAGCAUUUGCCAAGGAUGUUUUCAUUAAUCAAGAACGAAAGUUAGGGGAUCGAAGACGAUCGAGAUACCGUCGUAGUCUUAACCAUAAACUAUGCCGACUAGGAAGUCGACGAAGUUAUUUUUAUGUACUCGUUCGCGUCUAC